rnacentral:rRNA from 1 species
CAGCCGCCGCGGUAAUACGUAGGGUGCAAGCGUUAAUCUGAAUUACUGGGCGUAAAGCGUGCGCAGGCGGUUAUAUAAGACAGAUGUGAAAUCCCCGGGCUCAACCUGGGAACUGCAUUUGUGACUGUAUAGCUAGAGUACGGCAGAGGGGGAUGGAAUUCCGCGUGUAGCAGUGAAAUGCGUAGAUAUGCGGAGGAACACCGAUGGCGAAGGCAAUCCCCUGGGCCUGUACUGACGCUCAUGCACGAAAGCGUGGGGAGCAAACAGGAUUAGAUACCCGAGUAGUCCCUGUCUCUUAUAA